rnacentral:misc_RNA from 1 species
AAGUCGUAACAAGGUAACCGUAGGUGAACCUGCGGUUGGAUCAUUACUGAAUUAUGAAUGGUGAAUCUUUUGGAUUCAUCAAUUCAAAAACCCCACUUGUGAACUGUUUACCGUAUUUGUUUGGCAGCCCACCUAUUUGUUUUGCAAAUGAAAGGAUAAGAGCAUUCAUUUUGUCUCGUGUCUGGGGCUGUUGAACGCCUAUAAACAAACUCGUUUUUUUCUAUUUAUCUGAGUCUAUUUCUAAUUAUACUUAAUAAUUAAAAAAACAACUUUUGACAACGGAUCUCUUGGCUCUC